UACGAAGGGGGCUAGCGUUGCUCGGAAUGACUGGGCGUAAAGGGCGCGUAGGCGGUUUGCACAGUCAGAUGUGAAAUUCCCGGGCUUAACCUGGGGGCUGCAUUUGAUACGUGUGGGCUUGAGUGAGGAAGAGGGUUGUGGAAUUCCAGGUGGAGUGGUGAAAUGCGUAGAGAUCUGGAAGAACACCAAAGGCGAAGGCAGCAUCCUGGGAAGUUCCUGACGCUCGGGUGCGAAAGCCAGGGGAGCGAACGGG
rnacentral:rRNA from 1 species